GGUUUACACUGGUUCUUAUACAAUCACCAAAGUUAAGCAACAUUAAGCCUGGUUAGUACCUAGAUGGGUGACCACUUGGGAAUACCAGGAAG